rnacentral:rRNA from 1 species
UGCCAGCCGCCGCGGUAAUACGGAGGGAUCGAACGUUAAUCGGAAUUACUGGGCGUAAAGCGUGCGUAGGCGGUUUCUUAAGUGGAAUGUGAAAGCCCCGGGCUCAACCUGGGAAUUGCAUUCCAUACUGGGGAACUAGAGUGUGAUAGAGGGAGGUAGAAUUUCCUGUGUAGCGGUGAAAUGCGUAGAUAUAGGAAGGAAUACCAGUGGCGAAGGCGGCCUCCUGGAUCAACACUGACGCUGAGGUGCGAAAGCGUGGGGAGCAAACAGGAUUAGAUA